rnacentral:lncRNA from 10 species
CUGGCUUAGAACUCUGGCCUAUAAAGCAUCUUUAACAAAGAACAAUAAAAUUGUGGGGAAAUGAUAGGACAAAAGAAAGCAGUUCUAGGCUUUCAACAGCAGAAAACUGUGGAAAGAAUUGACGCCAUCAAGCUACAGAUGGUCUUACAAACGGAACUCCAAAUGAGUUCAACUAACAACUUCUACCGAGGACUCCUGGACUGACCCACUGGCCCUUUCACUGGCCAAGAGAGCUCCUCUCUGGAGGACACUACAACUGCAGGGCCCCUUCUUCACACCUAUCCAGCAGGAAGUAGCUAGAGUGGUCAUCAGCCAAAUUCCCAACAGCAGUUGGGGUGUCCUGUUUAGAGGGGAAAGUGAGAGGUGCCAACAUGCCAGCAGCCCUCGCUCACUCUCGGUGCUUCCUCGGCCUCAGUGUCCACUCUGGCCACACUUGAGGAGCCCUUCAGCCUGCAGCUGCACUGUGAGCCCCUCUCUGGGGCUGGCCAAGGCCAGAGCCGGCUCCCUCUGCUCGCAGACUCUCGCUCUGUGGCCAAGCUGGAAUGCAGUGGCACGAUCUCGGCUCACUGCAACCUCCGCCUCUGGGUUCAAGCCAUUCUCCUGCCUCAGCCUCCUGAGUAGAUGGGACUACAGGCACACAUCUCCACGCCCGACUAAUAUUUGUAUUUUUGGUAGAGACAAGCUUUCGCCAUGUUGGCCAGGCUGGUCUUGAACUCCUGACCUCAGGUGAUCCACCCGCCUCAGCCUCCCAAAGUGUUGGGAUUGCAGGCAUGAGCCACUGCACCUGGCCUAAUUUCUGUUUCUAUAGAUUUUCCUAUUCUGGACAUUUCAUAUAAA